rnacentral:rRNA from 1 species
UACGGAGGUGGCGAGCGUUGCUCGGAUUUACUGGGUGUAAAGGGCAAGUAGGCGGUCUCGUAAGCCCUGUUUGAAAGGCUCUGGCUCAACCAGAGUAUGUGGCAGGGGACUGCAAGACUUGAGGACGAGAGAGGCGAACGGAAUUCCCGGUGUAAGGGUGAAAUCUGUAGAUAUCGGGAGGAACACCAGUGGCGAAGGCGGUUCGCUGGCUCGUUUCUGACGCUGAGGUGCGAAAGCUAGGGGAGCGAACAGG